rnacentral:rRNA from 1 species
CAGUAGCCGCGGUAAGACAGAGGGUGCAAACGUUGUUCGGAAUUACUGGGCGUAAAGCGAGUGUAGGCGGUUCGGUAAGUCGGAUGUGAAAGCCCCGGGCUCAACCCGGGAAGUGCACUCGAUACUACCAAGCUAGAGUACUGGAGAGGUUGGUGGAAUUCUCGGUGUAGAGGUGAAAUUCGUAGAUAUCGAGAGGAACACCGGUGGCGAAGGCGGCCAACUGGACAGAUACUGACGCUGAGACUCGAAAGCGUGGGGAGCAAACAGGAUUAGAUACCCCAGUAGUCCCUGUCUCUUAUAC